rnacentral:tmRNA from 1 species
GGGGUCGACUGGUUUUGACAGCAGGACGCAUGAAAGGGUAAGCAAGUCGAGCGCUGAAUUACAGCUCGUUAAUCUCAUUAUUCACAUUUUUUAAAUGGCGAGAAUAACUACGCUCUAGCUGCAUAAUUAACAGAAUUAUAGUAUGUUAAUGCCAAGUCCCGGCAAGGCCGGGAAGCUGGAUGUCUCUGAAUAGCCCUUGUUGACGGCGAUUCCUUUUGAGGCACCAUAAAUGUCAACAUCGAAAUGCAGGAGCAUCGUCUGUGUUUUUCAAUAAAGAUGCUAAGGUCUGUAUGGGCAGUUUUCGGUCAGUACAGAUUCUAAAAUUAAACGAAAUCUAAACUUGUAGAAAGCUUUUUGAUCGCUUGUUUGGACGCGGGUUCGAAUCCCGCCGACUCCACUC